CAAAUGUCUUACAUUUUAGAAAGAGCACAGUGGAGUAAGGAGACAUGUUGAAGAACAUGGCUCUGCACCUAGGAGGUAUGUGACCUUUAAGAAUGAUCUGAUCUCUCCAAUGCCUUCAUGUGUAAAAUGGGAUUAUAAUACCUAUUUGAGGACAUUGGCAAGGAUUUAAAUGAGGUAAUAUAUGUAAAGUGCAACGCAUAUGUGUGUAGACAUUGUUAUAAAUACAUUUUAAUUAAUUAUGUUUUUUCCUUUAAUAUGUGACCCCCCCCCCAUUGGUAGGAGGGUUCCUGCACUAAAAUCUGUGAAUAAAGUGUAGAAGACUCCUAAAAUUUCUCUGGAUUACCUCAUUAGAAUUACGUCGAGCAGGGGAUGAAAAUCCAGCACUGAUGUGCUACUUUGUAAUCUACAUGACACCAACUAGAGUAAGGAUGGAGUGAGAUCACCACAUUUUCUCUGGACUCAGAUAAAGAGCUCCUCCUGCAGCAAAGAAUCUUCCUCCUGGAAUCCAGAAAAAAGUCCAAGUCUUUUGAAUGUUAGUGGCAAAGUCUUCCUCUUUAUUCCCCUUUCUUCUUGUGAUGGUAUCAACAUUGGAUUUUUUGACUUUUUAAUGCAAGAUUCCAGGAUCCCCAAAUGAUUAUUUCU
rnacentral:lncRNA from 1 species